rnacentral:rRNA from 1 species
GAACGCUGGCGGCGUGCCUAACACAUGCAAGUCGAACGGAGAUUAGACGCUGAUGAGGCUUCGGCGGAAUCUUGUUUAAUCUUAGUGGCGGACGGGUGAGUAACGCGUGGGCAACCUGCCUCAUACUGGGGGAUAGCAGUUGGAAACGACUGAUAAUACCGCAUAAGCGCACGAGAUCGCAUGAUCUUGUGUGAAAAACUCCGGUGGUAUGAGAUGGGCCCGCGUCAGAUUAGCUAGUUGGUGAGGUAACGGCCCACCAAGGCGACGAUCUGUAGCCGGACUGAGAGGUCGGACGGCCACAUUGGGACUGAGACACGGCCCAAACUCCUACGGGAGGCAGCAGUGGGGGAUAUUGCACAAUGGAGGAAACUCUGAUGCAGCGACGCCGCGUGGGUGAAGAAGUAUUUCGGUAUGUAAAGCUCUAUCAGCAGGGAAGAAAGGCCCGCAAGGGAGAUGACGGUACCUGACUAAGAAGCCCCGGCUAACUACGUGCCAGCAGCAGC